rnacentral:rRNA from 1 species
AACGAACGCUGGCGGCAUGCCUAACACAUGCAAGUCGAACGAGACCUUCGGGUCUAGUGGCGCACGGGUGCGUAACGCGUGGGAAUCUGCCCUUUGGUUCGGAAUAACAGUUGGAAACGACUGCUAAUACCGGAUGAUGACGAAAGCCCAAAGAUUUAUCGCCAGAGGAUGAGCCCGCGUAGGAUUAGCUAGUUGGUGUGGUAAAGGCGCACCAAGGCGACGAUCCUUAGCUGGUCUGAGAGGAUGAUCAGCCACACUGGGACUGAGACACGGCCCAGACUCCUACGGGAGGCAGCAGUGGGGAAUAUUGGACAAUGGGCGAAAGCCUGAUCCAGCAAUGCCGCGUGAGUGAUGAAGGCCUUAGGGUUGUAAAGCUCUUUUACCCGGGAUGAUAAUGACAGUACCGGGAGAAUAAGCUCCGGCUAACUCCGUGCCAGCCGCCGCAGUAA